rnacentral:rRNA from 1 species
GACGAACGCUGGCGGCGUGCUUAACACAUGCCAGUCGAACGGAAAGGCCCUGCUUUUGUGGGGUGCUCGAGUGGCGAACGGGUGAGUAACACGUGAGUAACCUGCCCUUGACUUUGGGAUAACUUCAGGAAACUGGGGCUAAUACCGGAUAGGAGCUCCUGCUGCAUGGUGGGGGUUGGAAAGUUUCGGCGGUUGGGGAUGGACUCGCGGCUUAUCAGCUUGUUGGUGGGGUAGUGGCUUACCAAGGCUUUGACGGGUAGCCGGCCUGAGAGGGUGACCGGCCACAUUGGGACUGAGAUACGGCCCCGACUCCUACGGGAGGCAGCAGUGGGGAAUAUUGCACAAUGAGCGGAAGCCUGAUGCAGCAACGCCGCGUGCGGGAUGACGGCCUUCGGGUUGUAAACCGCUUUCGCCUGUGACGAAGCGUGAGUGACGGUAAUGGGUAAAGAAGCACCGGCUAACUACGUG